GUUUCGGGGCGGGGUGAAAUUCCCCACCGGUGGUGAAAGCCCACGAACGCGAAGGCAGCCCUUCGCGCCGAUUUGGUGAAAUUCCAAAGCCGACGGUACAGUCCGGAUGAAAGAAA
rnacentral:ncRNA from 1 species